UACGUAGGGUGCAGGCGUUAAUCGGAAUUACUGGGCGUAAAGCGUGCGCAGGCGGUUUCUUAAGUCAGAUGUGAAAGCCCCGGGCUUAACCUGGGAACUGCGUUUGAAACUGGGAGACUUGAGUGUGGCAGAGGGACGCGGAAUUCCAGGUGUAGCGGUGAAAUGCGUAGAUAUCUGGAGGAACACCGGUGGCGAAGGCGGCGUCCUGGACCAAUACUGACACUGAUGAGCGAAAGCCAGGGGAGCAAACGGG
rnacentral:rRNA from 1 species